UUUUCAAUAUCCCUUUUCAAAAAUGCCCCCUUUGGCUGUCCAUUUUUAAAAAUGGACAGCCAAAGGGGGCAUUUUUGAAAAGGGGUAUUGAAA